CUUGCCGCGGGCCGCCCGGCGGAAGGAUCGCGCGGUGCGAGCGGCCGCUGCCUCGCCGUCCUUCCGCGGCGCCUGCGCGGCUGUGGGCACGGGCGGGCGCUGAGGGGGUGCGGAUGAGGGAGCUCGGCUAGCGGGAGCGGAGCCCGGCCCGCAGCGGGGAAGGUUCCGCCGGGCAGGGCCGCGUGGGUAGCCAGCUCCCCCCGGCGAGCGGCGCCUUGGGCGUGUGUCUGCUCCUCCGCCAGCCCCGGCGCCGAAGGAGGUGUCAGCUCGCCCCCCUCGGUGCCGCCUGGGCAGCAGGCAGGGUAAAGCUUUGAAAGUUUCGUUUAAAACCCCGGCGAAACAAGGAGCGAAGGCGUUCGGAGGCGCCGCGUCCCCCCGGGGCCGCCUGGCCGAGUGCCCCGCGGGCUGUCCGGGGGCCUGCCCGCUGCCGUCACCGGCCCCGGCCCUGCCCGCCGCGAAGGCUGGCAGGAGGGACCCGCUGCCCGGUUUCUCCCGGUGUCCGGGGGCCAGGCUCUGCCUGCCAGCCCCACUCCCGUAGCAGAAGACAGAUGCCUGACGUGCCAGGGAGGCCGCGAGGUUUUCCCACAGAUCCAACUAGCCUUUUGUCUGCCUGACUUUAGAACUGGACACCUAAGUUUGUGAGUGUUCAGUUUUGUUGUAAGUCCUCCGUCCUCUCCUCCGUCCUUUCCUCUUUCUUUUGUUUUCCCAGAGCAGGUUGAGGGUUUGUUAUACCACCGUACAGUGAAGACCAGGAAGAGAAUAAAUACUUUGCAUGAAAAUCCUGGCACUGUGAAGAAUCUUUGCUACUGGGCCUGACUUUUUUUCCAAUGAAGGAGAUGGGUGCUUUUCCACGGACUGCAGUGACAACGGGAGGCAAGCAGAUACAGAUCAGGCAAGGUGCUAGAGGAUUUUCUGCACGCUCUAUAUUUAGGGAUCUGUGUGAUACGUGAUCCUAAAUACAAGGUUAGUCAGUUUGAACUCUUGAGUUAGACCCAGAUAUUUCCAGACAGGCAGAGCUACCUACUGACUGUACAUCUGAGAAAGUACAUCUGAAUUAUUUCUUCUGGCAAGUAUCAAGAGUAUGUUAGUGAAAUGUGCCUGGAUAUGGCAGCUUAAGAUAGAACUAUGCUGGAAAUGUUCCUGCAGCUGUUACUUGGAAAACAUCUGUGGUACUAUGCACGGAAAUUUGUACAUCUCUGUUCACACUAGCACAGAGCAAACAAAAUAUAAAUUAUCAUUGGGAAAUAUGAGAAGGACAAUAUGUGCCAAUGGACAUGAAAUGACUGAAGGUAGUUAUCAAUUGAAAGAAAGGGGGGAAAAUGGAAUAUUCCAUUUCUGGCACAGGAAAUAGAGUAAGAUUGGCCGACUCUGUGAGACUCCCAGAACUCCAACUGCUAGUUAUUUGAAUAAGACUAACCAAUCCAUGGGACUUGAGGGGUGGAAAUUUUUACACUUCCAGUUGGAAAAAACCUUCCAUCUGUGCUAAUUUGUGGUGGUCUGUGUUUGUAUAGUCUGAUAAAGGGAAGAGUAUACAAGUUGACAUGAUUUCUUAUUUACAGUUAAUGGUUAUCCCUACAGAAAGUAUAAAAGACAUUGCCCUGAAGAACUUGAUUUUAGCAAAGACAUACAAGAAGGUAAACUGAAACAUACAUUCCAUUCUGUGGCUUAGUACAGCAGCUGGAAGAGGAAGAACAUCCAUACUCCAUCUCUGUGAUGGCAAGAUAUCCUUCAGAAUGUGGGGGAAAAGAAACAGUGGUGACUGCCAAGGGCAUUUGGAUAACAGAGACUACAGCUUGGAGCCUUAGCCUGUAAACAUCACCUAGAUGACGCCACUCUGAGGAGUCAGUUUGGUCAACUCCAUUAACAGUAAUCAUUGUUCAAACUGGAGCAGAUCCACAUCUCUUACUUCAGAGCUUAAAGCUACUUUUAUCCCACAAAAAAAUCACCUUGCAGGGAUGCCGUGCUUAAGGGUGCUUAGGUAUAUCUGAUGGUACCUAAAAGAGUGCUGGCCUGUAUCUGGAAUAUCCCUAGGAAAAGUUGUGCGUGUUUAUGGGAAUCUAAGAGCGCUUGUCGUCAAAAUAAACUUGAAGAAAUUGUUGGCCGUCAUCACUGGCAUAGCAGACAGGAACUGUGCCUAGAAAUAGAGAUUGGCCUAGCAACAUUGCUGACUGUUUUGUAGAGAAGGCGGCUUAUUUUUCCAGACCGUGACAUUUAAUAAACAUUUUCUGUUUGUUGAAA